CUCCUGAGUAAUGAUUAAACAAGGUACGUUCAAGCCUUUGAUAGGUACAAAGUGGCUGAUAUCACAGUUUUACUAGGUUCGGCUCAUGUUUACAAAGGGUGCGUAAGAACACAUUGGGACAAGCAUUGGCUCUACAAUGAUUUGUCCAUCUGAAUCAUUGUUAACACUUUUGAUGCCAAAAUGUUUAACAGCAAUUUGGCAUGGCCAAUACCGACUAACACAAGUAUUUCAAACACAUAAUGAGUAAAAUAAGUUCUGUAAUGUGAUUUUUAACGGCAGAGGAGGUUUGGAGUACGGGUGAUUACGGUGCCACAGUGGUAUUGUCCAUAAAUUAUCUGUUUAAUG